rnacentral:rRNA from 1 species
GACUUAGUGGCGGACGGGUGAGUAACGCGUGGAUAACCUGCCUUAUACAGGGGGAUAACGGAGAGAAAUUUCCGCUAACACCGCAUAAGACCACAGCACCGCAUGGUGCAGGGGUAAAAUAUUUAUAGGUAUAAGAUGGAUCCGCGUCCGAUUAGCUAGUUGGUGAGGUAAAGGCCCACCAAGGCGACGAUCGGUAGCCGGCCUGAGAGGGUGAACGGCCACAUUGGGACUGAGACACGGCCCAAACUCC